UAGGUUUUCUGGCUGUCUACAACUAAAAAUAAUUUUUUUUAUAUACCAAUGACAUUUUUUACAGAACUAGAAAAAACAAAGUCCUGAAAUUCAUUUGUAAGAAUAAGACCCAGAGUAGCCAAACAAUCCUGAGCAAGAAGAGGAAUGCUGGAGACAUCCCAGUGCCUGAUCCUGUACCACAGAGCUAUAGUAACCAAACCAGCAUUGAUAUUGGCAUCAAAGUCGACAAGAAAAUCAGUGGAAUUGACAAGAGACAAAUUCACAUACCCACAAAGGUGCCAAAAACAUGUUGGAAAAAAGACAACCUUUUCAACAAAUGGUGCUGGGAACACUGGAUAUCCAUAUGCAGAAGAGUGAAACUAGAUUCCUACCUAUUGGCACAAAAGUCACAUCAAAAUGGGUCAGACUUAAUAAAUUAGACUAGGAACACUGAAACUGCUAGAAGAAAACAUAGGGUCAAUACUCCAACAUACUGGCACAGGCACCAAUUUCCUUAACCAGACUCCUAAUGUGUAAGCAAUAAAACCAACAAUAAGUGGGAUGUCAUCAAAUUUUCAAACUUCUGCACAGCAAAGAAAAUGCAUGUGAAGAGAGCCUACAAAAUAACUAAACAGACAUUUCUCAAGAAAAGUAACAGAUGACCAACAAAUAUAUGAAAAAAUGUUCACUCUAGCAAUCAGGGAAAUGCAAAUCAAAACCACACUAAGAUUUCACCUCAUUCCAGUCAAAAUAACAAUUAUCAAGAAUACAGAUAAUAAAUGUUCAAAUCUCUUUGAACAAUAUGAUAGGCAUAGCUUCCAGGGUCCCCAGGAUAUGAGGGAAAAGGUACACCUGCAAAUUAGUACAACCACUCUAGAAAGUAGUAUGGAGAGUCCUCAAAAAACUAGGAAUCGAACCACUAUAUGACCCAGCUGUAUUCCCUGGUCUUUAGCCAAAAGAACUAAAAUUGGCAUACUAUAGUGAUGCAGCCACAUCAAUGUUUAUAGCAGCACAAUUCAUAAUAGCCAAAUUAUGGAACCAGCCCAGGGACCUGUUGAUAAAUGAAUGGAUUAAAAUGGUAUAUAUACACAAUGGAGUUUGAUUCAGCCAUAAAGAAUGAAAUUAUGGCAUGUCUGGUAAAUGGGUGGAAACAGAGAACCUCAAGCUAAAUGAAAUAAGCCAGACACAGAAAAGAGUCAGAUGUUUUCUCUGAUAGGCAGAAACUAAAGCAAAAUGGGAAAAAUCAGAUAUCAUAAAGAUGGAGAAGAUCCAGUGGAAAAGAAGGAGAUCAAGAGGGAGGGAGGAGGGACAGGAAAGGAGGGGAAGGAAUGUAGAAUGAAUUUGACAAAAUCAUACUAUGUGCAACUGUAAAAAUACCACAGAGAAUUCUACCUUUAUGUAUAUCUAUGAAAUACCAAUCAAAAAAUUAAUAGUUGAGUGAAAGGAAAAAAAUUAAAAUAUUGCCUUGAAACAAUUGACACUCUGCUUUUAUCUGGUUUCCAGGGGAACAGAACUAAAAAAGUGAAUAAAUGCCAAGUCUGAAGGAAGAGAAGGAACUAACCUCUGGGGUCAGAAUUAAAUGUUGUUUAAGAAAAGCAGAGCCAAAAAUGAUUAAAGAAAAAGAAAACCAAAUAAAGCCCUCAACUGGUGGAAUUGUUUCACCAAGUCAGGCAUUCUAAUAAUGACCAGUCAUCCAAAGUAGCUGGGCUGGCCUUGGGCAGGCCCUUGCACACGAGGUGUGGUGCAGGAAAGGCCACUCCAUGGAGCCCAGCACUCCACCCACCCACGAAGCAGGAAGACACCAUUGACUCAUUGCUAAGGAAAUCUGGAGGAAGACACCAAGUACUUCAGGAGAUAAUGAUGUGCAGGAGCCCAGGAGUGCAGCUCAGAGGGAGACCACUUGCCUAAUGUGCUUGAGGCCCUAACUAGUUCCAUCCCCAGCACCACAGUGGGGGGAAAAAAAGUUAACCCAAGAGCCUAGCCUCUACUAAGGGAUGGUCAGGGAAGAACUGGGCAUUUUUCUGGACGCCCUCCCCAUCUUCGACUCCUCCUGCCUGCUGGCCAGGUGGACUUCUAUACUUAGCUCCAUUGUCUAGACCAUUAGUCCUGAGGAGUAUCCACAGCACCCCUCGUUGGCGUCCUUGUGGAACUUAAAUCUUUCUCUGGGAUGUGGCACUGGUGAGCCAAGUUGAUGCACUGCCCCUGCUCUCACAUGGGGUGCCACAGCAAUUCCUAGAAAGAGCCUGAGCUGGCUUACUCCACCUUACAGCCAGGCACCCCACCCUGCCAGCCCUCAGAGUUUUGCAGCCUUUGCUGCAGUCUGGCUGGGCACAAAUAACUGAGCUGCCACAAAGCCUUGUAGAUUCAAACAGCAGCUCUUUAUUCCCCAACUCUCACCGGCACUGCACACACCACACGGGAACACACUCCCUCACCUGGGCUCCGUCCAAUCUCUCUGAACCCCUGUGAGAACUCAGGGGAACUUCAAGGUAGCAGGCACCGGAGGCAGCAGGAGCCGCCUUAUUGCCCGCCAGUAAAGGUCAAAUAUACAAUACAAUCAAUCCAGCAUCACAGCAAUUAUAUAUAGCUUAACUCAAAUCAUCAUCUCAAUGGUUUGCUGGCGUCACCUUUCAACCAUUCCCUCUGGCAAAUGCCAGGCAUCAUUCUGACUGGGCUGUGGCUCUCAACAAGUCUCUUUACCCUAACUCACCCCAAAUCAUUGCAUCUGGUUUUGCUCCCACAUUCCAUUAGGCUUCAAACCCCUAGUCCAGGAACAAUGACAGCCAGGCAUCAGAACUGGGUGCUUAGCCUAUAAUACCAAAGCCACUGCAGGUGCUCUCAGAGGCUAGCAGCCAACAGCAGGAUGGACCCUGGGGCAGAGCUCCUUGAGUCUCAGAGAAACCCUACAGGUGACUGGGCCUGGACCCAUAAAAGGUGAGGCAGGAAUCUAUAUGCAGUUGGUGGUUUGCUAGACAGGACUAAGGGCCAAAGCUGGAGCAUCAUGGGUCCCAAGAGCUCAAAGGCCAUGUCCACAGUAUUCCUACCAGAAUUUGCUUUUUUAACAUUACUGUCUCUCCCACAGGUAUCUGAGAUUCCCUGUCCCCCUUCUCCUUGAUUAGCCCCCCUGGGCAAUUAGCAAAAACUAAAUUUGGGAGUUGAGAGGAAGAAAGAAGGCAGAUGUCCAUCCCCAAUUCAGGUUCAGUGAUCAUGGCUGUGUAGAUCGUCACAUGGGCACUCCAGAGAAGGUGAAAGGGGAAUUCCACUGCAUCUCUGUGCUCCAUCUUGGGUCCCCAGCUCUCAUUCCAAGAGUCUUAAAUUCCAGAGCUUUUUUCCUUCAGUGCCAAAUGAGGCUUGCCAAUAAGAUCACAGACAUCCAGCAAGAGGAUUAAAAGAUAAUGCUUUCCCAAUUCCAUCACCGCAUGAGUGGCCUGCCAAGCACCUCGACUUCUAAACCAUAGCAAUGAGCCUGGGAUGAGGUAAAGAGCCCUGUUCAAUUACAAUGCAUUUCUGUAUUUAAAAGACUAUUUUUAAAAUUGUAUUUAGUGAUUAUAAUAAAAGGCAGUUUUUACCUCUACCCCCAAAGGAAGUGAAAUGAAUGUUCAGCUCAUAUACGUCUGUUAAAGGCUAUGGAAAAAUGGGUGACAACGUGACUUAGAGAGAUUGCCAGUGAGGGCGGGAAAGCUUUGACAUGCAACUUGGCAUGGGAAAUCUCAUGCCAAACAGCUGCCUGUGGCAAGGCAGUGAGAUAAGGAAGGAGAACACUCCUGGUUGGUUCAUGUGUUUCACCCCAGGACUCUUCUGUGGCCAGCUGUCUCUUUUCACACAACCCAACACAACUGGCGUUAACCAUCCUGAAACAGCUGCAGCCGAGCUGUCCAGUGCUGUGAGAACACCUCAUGGAUGACACAGUUGAGAAAGGCUGGAAGAAGGGCUCAGGGAUCCCAGGACAUCUCAGGCUGUCCCUUCAUUACUCUCAGGGCUAUGGAGACAGCUGAGGCAGACCUGGCUCCAGGCCUGGGCAAGGACAGUGCAGCUGCCCAGUCUUCUCAGAGCCCCACACUGCCACCAUGAAGGGCUGGGGCUUCUUCCCUUCCCCCACACCAUCGUCUCUCCUCCAGUUCCCCACUUGAGCUUCUGCUCCCAUCCCUAAGGGAAACAAAACUUAACAUCUUCAGAAUGGCUGCCUGCUGUCAAGCAGUCCUUCAGUCAGUCGAAGCAUCACCUCUGUCCUCCACGCUCACUCCCCAUAACCAGAAGCUUCCAGAAGCAGCAUGAGAGAGAAUAUGUUGAAAUACACUUACCAAAGUCCCCACUUGCCAGGAGCAGGUCCCUGCAUUUGGAGAGGCUGUGCAUGACCCAUGUCUUCGUCCCAGUCAAACAACAGGUAACAACCCUGUACUUCAAAAGAGACAACAACACUUGAUCUAUUUUUCAGGACUCUUCUAGAUAGCAACUUUUGUCCCUGGCAUAGAGAAGGGCCUGUUGUCAGGGGUGGUUCUGGAAGCUACCCUGUGUAUUUUGGUCCAUCCUGGGAGCAGCUGGGACUCUCUGCCUUCCUUCUCUGUCUCUGUGGUCCUGACCAGUUAGUUUCUGCCCAUCUGUGAGGCCCCCAGGAGGCUUGGCACACCUGAGUCUCCUGUGAGGUCCUGGGCCAUCUGAAAGCCCAGGGCCCUGGGAGGAACAGUCCACAGGAGGGAAUCCUGAGAACAAAAAAGGAAGUAUAGGUUUUAAGCACCAGGACCAAAAGUGGUGGCAACUGGGUGGCCUGCGUGGGCAUUGGGGCCUAGAAAGGCACUGCAAAGGGAGGAAUUAUGUCUUCAGCCCCUACUUUCUGAAAGCUGCCCAGAAGGAGCCCCAUGAUCAAGCUUAUGUGGUUGGUGGGCAGCCAUGUCUGCAGGUGUGGGAGAGGCCUUGUCCACAGCUGACCAAGAAGGCAUUGUUGACCCUCAUGAGAUCACAGAGGCAGUUGUGCAGGCCCCACCCAUUUCCCAGGACCCUGGUUCUCCCUGCCUCCAUGCUAAGCUCUAAGUGCCCUGGGAGGUGCUAGUAGGGGUCGGGGUUGUGGGAGCUCAGAACUGGCACCUCUCAUGUUCCUCCAGGAGCCAGAAGGAUAUGAAGGACUUAGGCCUCUUUCCUCCUAUUCCUGUUUGCCUUGAAUGCCCCUGCCCCAGCCGCGGUGGCUCCCAGACCCCACCUGCCUCCAGGAUCCAACCUGAAAAGAUGCAGGCUGGUGGCACCUACCACACCAGCCAGAGGCUGGCUGUGUGGGGGUGAGUGGAGGGACUGGUAUGUGCACAGGCACAGCUCCUGGGCCUGGGGGCAAGGCACAGGAGCCCAGCUCUAAAC
rnacentral:lncRNA from 1 species